CAUGUGACCCCUACACUGCUCCCCUUAUUCUUUUUCAUCUAUCGGUUAUGAGGUUUCCAUUUCAGAUCAUUGCUUGCAACCCCAAUCGGCAAAGCCACAAGUCCUCCAAUUCUUCCGACUCCGACCACAGCUUCCACUAAGCCACAGAUCCUCUGAUUCCUCCGACCACCGCUUCCUUUUCUGUAGGUAUGGGCUACCUUUUUCUCUCUAACUCAUCUCAUCUUUCCUUCCUUCCUUUAUCUCAUCCCAUUACUCUGCUAUGGACAUAAGGAGAAAUUGAAGUGAGCAGCAUAAAUUUAGUUUUCCCUCAAUCAUUGCUCCCUAUAAUAGAUCGUAGCCUCCGACCCUAUGGACAAGCCACAGAUCCUCCUGUUUGUUCUGUUUCUCAUCACGUUCAUCUCACCAACGAUGGCAGCCGAGACUACUGCAUUCUCCAACCUUCUCUAUCAGAUACAGAGGAAGAAUAACAAGGCCACAUGAGCUGGAGUCUAAUGCUGCUGAAGAUUGUGAGGCGGUAGAUACAACUAAUGAUGUCACGAAGGAUAAUACGGAUCCACUACAGCGAAACGGCAGUAGGGAGGAGCAAGUAUAGCAAGAUCGACUCCUAAGACCCAAGCAAAUGGAAUUGUUUCGGACUAGAUGCUUGCAUUCAGACACUAGAAGUACAAGGCACUAGCAGGGGCAUUUCAUCAGUCGAUUUUGGGCUUCCUUUUGUCAUUAUUUGGAUUGAAACUUAUAAAUGCUUACAGCUGGUGAUAUAUAUCCAUUGACAGGACCUUUUUCUUAGGAUGGAGAUAUGGAAGGACACCUUGAGCAUUGUACAAUGAAGUUUGUAUCCUACUGCUUAAUUUUUUUGCUUUUCUAUGCCAUAAAUGAUAUGAUCGCAUCUAAUACAUUAAGGCUACAUAGUUUAUCCAUUAGUUAGUUUCUAUUGCACAGUAGUAUUUUCCAGUUUGCUUUUAAGAAAAAGUCCCAUAUGCCUGUUUUGCCCUCUUCACAAUCAGUAUUUGAUACACAGGACCAAACUCAUUACACUAUCAAUGAAUAGCUGAUCUCACGUGUUUGCUUGCCUAUUUUGACCAAGGCAUGCUUCAGUAGUAGAUCUUAGGGAGAGAGUGAUAAUUUAUGCUCCUAUUCCUUUGAAUCUAAUAAGUAAUUUUUAAAUCAAUCAUAACCCAAAGAUUUUGUGCUUUUGCUUUUUUAUUUAAAUAUGGUAAUUUGUUUGAAUCUUCUAUGAAUGUGUUUUUCAGUGCAAUCAGCUAUUAACAUGAGAGUCUAAUAGCAAUUAAUCACUUGUCCUCUGUAUUAUUUCCCCGUCUCAUUGAUGCAUUGCUGGAUAUGUUUUCUUCUCUCAGUUUGUUCUUUCUGCUAUUUGUCUGUUAUUUUGAUAGGCACUAUGACUCAUGACUCAAAAGUUCCUCCACGGCUUUGUUUAAAUAGGCAAGCUGCUUUCUGUAAGCCAUUGAUUGGCAUAUGCAUUUUUAUCAUGAAGGAAAGAUGAGAAGACUAAUGCAACGCGAGUUACCUGUUAAAAUAAAUUUUUUAUUUUAUUCCUAUAAAAAAAAAAUUAGGUUGACCAAGUUUCCUGGAUGAGUUAGUCUCAAGCUUUUGCAGAGUUGUUUCACAGUAUUCUAGAGUCUAAGAUUUAGUUGUUUAUCUUUGGCGAAUUCUUUUAGUCGAUCGACAAUGGUUGUACUCAUCAGGCAAAUUCACUUCGAAGAUGAGUUAUUCUUUUAUAUGUAUGAUAUACCUAAUUUCUUUGAUGGAGUGAGGGGAGACUGAGAGCUCCUUGGCCCUCCCUCUAUCUAUCUAUUACUUCAUUAA